AUCCAGUUGAUGAGUCCCAAAUAGGACGAAAUACUCAUCCCGGAU
rnacentral:hammerhead_ribozyme from 1 species